rnacentral:rRNA from 1 species
UUUUGGACAAUGGGCGAAAGCCUGAUCCAGCAAUGCCGCGUGUGGGAAGAAGGCCUUCGGGUUGUAAACCACUUUUGUACGGAACGAAACGGUCUGCUUUAAUACAGUGGGCUAAUGACGGUACCGUAAGAAUAAGCACCGGCUAACUACGUGCCAGCAGCCGCGGUAAUACGUAGGGUGCGAGCGUUAAUCGGAAUUACUGGGCGUAAAGCGUGCGCAGGCGGUUAUAUAAGACAGUUGUGAAAUCCCCGGGCUCAACCUGGGAAUUGCGUUCGAAACCGCAAGGCUAGAGUGUGUCAGAGGGGGGUAGAAUUCCACGUGUAGCAGUGAAAUGCGUAGAGAUGUGGAGGAAUACCAAUGGCGAAGGCAGCCCCCUGGGAUAACACUGACGCUCAUCACGAAA